rnacentral:rRNA from 1 species
UACGUAGGGGGCAAGCGUUGUCCGGAUUUAUUGGGCGUAAAGAGCGUGUAGGCGGUCAGGUAGGUCCGUUGUGAAAACUCGAGGCUCAACCUCGAGACGCCGAUGGAAACCAUCUGACUAGAGUCCGGAAGAGGAGAGUGGAAUUCCGUGGUGUAGCGGUGAAAUGCGCAGAUAUCAGGAAGAACACCCGUGGCUAAGGCGGCUCUCUAGUACGGUCACUGACGCUGAGACGCGAAAGCGUGGGGAGCGAACAGGAUUA